rnacentral:rRNA from 1 species
UAGGGAAUCUUCGGCAAUGGACGAAAGUCUGACCGAGCAACGCCGCGUGAGUGAAGAAGGUUUUCGGAUCGUAAAACUCUGUUGUUAGAGAAGAACAAGGACGUUAGUAACUGAACGUCCCCUGACGGUAUCUAACCAGAAAGCCACGGCUAACUACGUGCCAGCAGCCGCGGUAAUACGUAGGUGGCAAGCGUUGUCCGGAUUUAUUGGGCGUAAAGCGAGCGCAGGCGGUUUCUUAAGUCUGAUGUGAAAGCCCCCGGCUCAACCGGGGAGGGUCAUUGGAAACUGGGGGACUUGAGUGCAGAAGAGGGGAGUGGAAUUCCAUGUGUAGCGGUGAAAUGCGUAGAUAUAUGGAGGAACACCAGUGGCGAAGGCGGCGCUCUGGUCUGUAACUGACGCUGAGGCUCGAAAGCGUGGGGAGCAAACAGG